rnacentral:rRNA from 1 species
AUACGGAGGGGGUUAGCGUUGUUCGGAAUUACUGGGCGUAAAGCGCACGUAGGCGGACUGGAAAGUUGGGGGUGAAAUCCCGGGGCUCAAUCCCGGAACUGCCUCCAAAACUUCCAAUCUCGAGAUCGAGAGAGGUGAGUGGAAUUCCAAGUGUAGAGGUGAAAUUCGUAGAUAUUUGGAGGAACACCAGUGGCGAAGGCGGCUCACUGGCUCGAUACUGACGCUGAGGUGCGAAAGCGUGGGGAGCAAACAGGAUUAGAUACCCCAGUAGUCC